CCAAUAACUGGUGUCGCAACACCAAAUGUCACAAAAUAUUUAUUCCACCAGUUUUGUGACAUUUGGUGUUGCAACAUCAUUUAUUGG